UACGUAGGGGGCAAGCGUUGUCCGGAAUCAUUGGGCGUAAAGAGCGUGUAGGCGGCUUGGUAAGUCCGCUGUGAAAGUCCAGGGCUCAACCCUGGAAUGCCGGUGGAAACUGUCAAGCUCGAGUCCGGAAGAGGCGAGUGGAAUUCCUGGUGUAGCGGUGAAAUGCGCAGAUAUCAGGAGGAACACCGAUGGCGAAGGCAGGUCUCUGGGCAUUAACUGACGCUGAGGAGCGAAAGCAUGGGGAGCGAACAGG
rnacentral:rRNA from 1 species